rnacentral:rRNA from 1 species
UACGAAGGGAGCUAGCGUUGUUCGGAAUCACUGGGCGUAAAGCGCACGUAGGCGGAUGUGUCAGUCAGGGGUGAAAUCCCGGAGCUCAACUUCGGAACUGCCUUUGAUACAGCACGUCUUGAGUCCGAUAGAGGUGGGUGGAAUUCCUAGUGUAGAGGUGAAAUUCGUAGAUAUUAGGAAGAACACCGGUGGCGAAGGCGGCAUCCUGGACCAAUAUUGACGCUGAGGAGCGAAAGCCAGGGAGCAAACGGGG